AUACAUAUAUACGUACAAACAAUGCUCCGAGCAACGUGACAUUAAUAUGUUGCGUCAAAACUGACUUGGAACUCAGUUAUAAACGGAAUUUCGACGAUUUUGGUGAUUCGGUCGCGUAUGUGUCGUCGCUUACGUAGUGCAACAACAAACGUGUCGCUGUGAAGAAAAAGUUAAAGAAGUUUUACAUAGAUAUUGUACUAAAUUUCUUAAAAAAAAACACAAGAAUUUAAUGGAAAAAGAAAAAAAGCGUAGUGAAAAUUUAGUGCAAACAAUAAGGAAUACAAUUUUUAAUAGAAACAAAGCUUUCAAUUUAUCAGUCUUAUAAAACCAAGCAUUUGAGCAAAAUCAACGGUCGGACGAGUGGGUGAAAACACGUACAAUCACGUCGAAAGACCAAAAGCGAAAAUCAGCAUUUUACAAGCCCAAGCGCGGAACAGAGCACAAACCUUAGUCAGAGAGAAAGCACGAGAGAGAGAGAGAGUGAGAUCUAGAUAGCGGGAGAGGCAGAGAGUUGAGAGGUGGCGCACUUAUGAGCUGUAAACAAAUGAAUGAAUAUGCCCUACAAUCCACAUAAAAAGAAAGCAAGAAAGCAACCAACAAAAAGUGACCGCAAACCAAUGCUGUAAAACGGCGUGCUACACCGACCUAUGCACAUUUGUACGUAUGGAUGUUUGUACAUCGAGUAAACACAAAAACACAUGCGCUGGAAGUGUAUAGUUGGUGUUUUUUGUUUUUGUUUUGUGCGCUAAAAAAAUUCAGUAGCUGUGUCGACAUGCAGCGCAACAUAUUGCCGGUGUUGUUGUUUGUUUAAUACUAAAAACAAGUGUAUAACAAGAAAAUAUUUUAACGACGAUCGCAAGCGAAAUUUGCUCAUAUGCAUACAUACAUACAUAUACAUAUACAUGCGUACAUACUUACAUACAUUUAUAAACAAUAAAUUUAAAAAUAAGUAAUUGGUCAUACAGAAUUUAUUAAAAAUUUCAGAAAUUCUAAAGUUUAAGAAAAAAGUGAAAAACAAAAAUGAAUUAGGAAAAAAUUUCUAAAAGUGAAAUAAAAUUAAUUUUAUCUUCUGCGACUUCGAUUUGUUUGGUGGCAGCAACGUGGAUGGCAAUUUCUCAACGUGAGAUCGUUCUUUUUAUAUCUGACGAAAAAGUGCAUUUGGAUUUGAGUGAAGGUA